rnacentral:rRNA from 1 species
CCUACGGGUGGCUGCAGUGAGGAAUAUUGGUCAAUGGGCGCUAGCCUGAACCAGCCAAGUAGCGUGAAGGAUGACUGCCCUAUGGGUUGUAAACUUCUUUUAUAUGGGAAUAAAGUGUUGCAUGUAUAGUGUUUUGUAUGUACCUUAUGAAUAAGGAUCGGCUAACUCCGUGCCAGCAGCCGCGGUAAUACGGAGGAUCCGAGCGUUAUCCGGAUUUAUUGGGUUUAAAGGGAGCGUAGGUGGGUUGUUAAGUCAGUUGUGAAAGUUUGCGGCUCAACCGUAAAAUUGCAGUUGAUACUGGCAGCCUUGAGUACAGUAGAGGUGGGCGGAAUUCGUGGUGUAGCGGUGAAAUGCUUAGAUAUCACGAAGAACUCCGAUUGCGAAGGCAGCCUACUGGACUGUAACUGACACUGAUGCUCGAAAGUGUGGGUAUCAAACAGGAUUAGAUACCCGAGUAGUC